rnacentral:misc_RNA from 1 species
UUUAACCUUUAUUGAAAACAUUGCAGGAAAGGGUAACUCUGAAAUAUUUCUUUCUUUCUUAUGAUCAAUAAUCUUUAUAUUGUGUUGUCGUCUGGAUAUUCCUUGAACCAGUUGACUCCUGCUAUUUGCUAAUGUUGUUUUCUUGUUACUAUUUUUAACUCUUUUUCUUUUUACCGCCCUUCAACGUGUCCUGGUAUGAGCAGAUAAAAUCUAUUGAAAUUGUGGUGUUUCUGUGCAUAUUUUGUCUUUAAUUUAAGUUAAUUGGUGAUGCAGGAGUGGGAAGGGAGGUUGAACGUUGGCAUGUCUAAUUCUGUGACAACUGCAAUUCGUGAAAGUGUUCGGGAUAUGGCCAUUGGUAAAACUAAAACUACUGAGAAAGCGGAUCGCGCAACAGUGGAGCAGGUGAAGAUCACUUAGCUCCUUGGAGCUUUCACCUUAGAAUGCAUCAAGUUUCUGUAACAUACAGUUUGGUUACGUGUUGUAUCAUCUUCUUUCUGCUAACCUUGCUGGAUGGAAGAAUCUUUUGUCUUUUCUUGAAUGUGUUUAUAUGUAGAAUGUAUAAGAGCUAUAUUCUUGAUUAUUUACUUUAGGAAUUAAU